GAGAAUUAAAGGGUCACUGCAGACCACUAAAGCACUUUAGCUUGCUGAAAAGCUUUGUGUGAAGAGUGUGUUGUGGCAUAGCCUGCAAAUUCACAUGGUCUGCUAUUUUAUAUUGUGUUGUUAGGAGUGCCCAUGUGUUAAACCAUAUGAUUUGGUCCUAUGUAUUAAAUUGAAUGUAAUGAUUGUCCAGGAUGUAUGUGGCUCCCUCCUUUUCCUGUCUUAUCGUUUUCCCAGCAGGUCGUUGUCCAAUUGUUCCAAUGACACUUCCAGACCAGUUCCAUCUGACUGUCCUGACACUUCUUUAAAUCUUCC